CUUCAAAUUCUCUCUCGGGUUUCUCUUCUCCUUGCUCUCUUGUUGCAGAAUUUUUCCUGCAACUUCUUCCCUUGGUUUAGUGCGUAAAAGCUCCACUUUCUCUUACCUCUUCACCCAUCAGGACAUAGAAGGAAGCAAGAAAAAAAAAAAGAAAAAAAGAAAAAAGAAAUAGUUCCCUCCUCUCUACCCUUAUAUCUCUCGGUCCAGCCGCUCUCUCCCUUCUUCCUUCAUGAACAGCAGGCAGCAAAUCAUUUCUCUUCUUUAUUUCUCUCUGUUUCGGUCAAGCCCAAAUAAAGAGCUCUCAGUUCUCUCUCUAUACAUAUCUUUUGGUUUGUAGCUUUUAACAAAGAGAAAAGGAAAAGAAGAAGAAAGAAAAAGGGAAAAAGACAAAAGGAAAAAGGACAUCUCUCUCUCUCUCUCGUGAAACAAGGGAAAAGAAUUAAAAAAUAAUUAAUCAAUAAAUAAGAGGAAGAAGCUUUGGAUAGCCAUAAAGAAAAGAAAAGAAAACAAAGAAGAGAACCUGUACUUGUCACUCGGCAGUAUGUGCGGUAGAAGGUAGCUAAAAUAUUGCUCAGAAGAUAUCAGGAUGUAAUAAUCAGAGUCACCUUCUGGUAAUGGCAUAGACCUGGCUAAGAGCAAUAGAUGGUAUCUUGGGGAACUGAUGUAACCUUUGUAAUGUAUAAUAUGUUUCCCUAUUGGAAAUUUAUAACUUUGUGAAAAGCUACUCUUUUAUGGAUAUAUAUAAAAUAGAUGGAUAAAA